UGCGCGAAAGCGUGACGGGGGAACCCCAAGUGCCGUUGGUCUUUGAUCGACUGUGCUUUUAGGGAGUCUAASAAGCUCCCGGAAUAAGGGCUGGGCAAGUCGGGUGCCAGCCGCCGCGGUAAUACCCGCAGCCCUAGUGGUGGUCKCGAUUAUUGGGCCUAAAGCGCUCGUAGCCGGGUCAGCAAGUCCCUUGUGAAAUCGGGCGGCCUAACCGUUCGGCUUGCAAGGGAUACUGUUGGUCUUGAGGCCRGGAGACGUCUGAKGUACUCCGGGGGUAGCGGUAAAAUGCUGUAAUCCUCRGGGGACCACCAGUGGCGAAGGCGUCAGACGAGAACGGACCUGACGGUGAGGGGCKAAGGCUAGGGGAGCGAACGGGAUUAGAUACCCCGGUAGUCCUAGCUGUAAAGCAUGCGGGCCAGGUGUCUGGUGUUCCUUGAGAGCACCAAGUGCCGGAGGGAAGCCGUUAAGCCCGCCGCCUGGGAAGUACGGUCGCAAGGCUGAAACUUAAAGGAAUUGGCGGGGGGAAGCAC
rnacentral:rRNA from 1 species